rnacentral:tRNA from 1 species
GGAUGGGUAGCCGAGUGGUUUAAGGCACCGCACUUGAAAUGCGGCGGGCUGAAAGGCCCCGCGGGUUCGAAUCCUGCCCCAUCCGCCA